rnacentral:lncRNA from 1 species
AAAAAAACACACGAAGCGGUAUUGAUCAAAUGCUAUGACAAUAUGUCCGAAGCGCUUUUCCAGAUUUACCAGAAUAAGUGGCAAGUUGCAAGUACAUGAGACAUAAAAACUAACGACGCAGAAAAUAAGUUUUAAAGAUCUGCCAUUUAUUCGAAAAUUAUCAAAUGACAAAUGACACUCGCUGACUAUAUUUCUGACUUUGAAAAAGAGGGGCGAAAGAUACCAGAGGGACAUAAAAACUAAAAAAAUAAACUAAACAAUUCCAUGACUAAUAAAGAAACAGACAAGCAGACAAAUAAUACUACACAAGAUAUAUUAUAGAAAACUAAAGACUAAGCAUUACGAAC